rnacentral:rRNA from 1 species
CCUACGGGAGGCAGCAGUGGGGAAUCUUGCGCAAUGGGCGAAAGCCUGACGCAGCCAUGCCGCGUGAAUGAUGAAGGUCUUAGGAUUGUAAAAUUCUUUUAGUAGGGACGAUAAUGACGGUACCUACAGAAGAAGCCCCGGCUAACUUCGUGCCAGCAGCCGCGGUAAUACGAAGGGGGCUAGCGUUGCUCGGAAUUACUGGGCGUAAAGGGAGCGUAGGCGGGUUAUCAAGUUGGAGGUGAAAGCCCAGGGCUCAACCUUGGAAUUGCCUUCAAAACUGAUAGCCUAGAGUAUGAUAGAGGUAUGUGGAACUCCGAGUGUAGAGGUGAAAUUCGUAGAUAUUCGGAAGAACACCAGUGGCGAAGGCGACAUACUGGGUCAUGACUGACGCUGAGGCUCGAAAGCGUGGGGAGCAAACAGGAUUAGAUACCCUGGUAGUCCACGCUGUAAACGAUGAUUGCUAGUUGUCGGACGGCAUGCCGUUCGGUGACGCAGCUAACGCAUUAAGCAAUCCGCCUGGGGAGUACGGUCGCAAGAUUAAAGCUCAAAUGAAUUGACGG